CUUGGAUGCUGCCGUGUGGGCUGAGGAGAAUCCAGUCGAGAACAUAGUUCGAGAAGACAGUCCUCCAGUUGAAAAAGGUUUUGCAAAUAGCUCAUCAUGAUGUAUUUAUCCUAGUUUGGUAUUGAAGAUGCAUAAGAUUCUAGGUUGAUUCCUGAUCAUCUUCAAUUGGUCUUCACGUUAGUAUCACAUGUCAGGUCAGAGAGGAGAAUUCUCCUCUUAGAUCAAAAUAGUGAUCCAGGGGAUAGAAUACACAUUUUCAGUUCUUCUGUAUGUUGCAUAGUAAAAUCAUAAAAUCAAUGUAAGAUAUCUUGCAGGGGAAAUAGCUAGAAAAAUAAGAAAAGUUGUAAAGUUUAGGGAUUUUUAUAUGAUUAAGAUCAGGAUGAUUUUACUAU
rnacentral:misc_RNA from 1 species